rnacentral:tRNA from 1 species
GGGGCUGUAGCUCAGUUUGGGAGAGCGCUUGAAUGGCAUUCAAGAGGUCGUCGGUUCGAUCCCGAUCAGCUCCACCA